UACGAAGGGGGCUAGCGUUGCUCGGAAUCACUGGGCGUAAAGGGUGCGUAGGCGGGUCUUUAAGUCAGGGGUGAAAUCCUGGAGCUCAACUCCAGAACUGCCUUUGAUACUGAGGAUCUUGAGUUCGGGAGAGGUGAGUGGAACUACGAGUGUAGAGGUGAAAUUCGUAGAUAUUCGCAAGAACACCAGUGGCGAAGGCGGCUCACUGGCCCGAUACUGACGCUGAGGCACGAAAGCGUGGGGAGCAAACAGG
rnacentral:rRNA from 1 species